rnacentral:rRNA from 1 species
UACGAGGGGGGCGAGCGUUAUUCGGAAUUACUGGGCGUAAAGGGCUCGUAGGUGGCCAACUAAGUCAGACGUGAAAUCCCUCGGCUUAACCGGGGAACUGCGUCUGAUACUGGAUGGCUUGAGUUCGGGAGAGGGAUGCGGAAUUCCAGGUGUAGCGGUGAAAUGCGUAGAUAUCUGGAGGAACACCGGUGGCGAAGGCGGCAUCCUGGACCGACACUGACACUGAGGAGCGAAAGCCAGGGGAGCAAACGGG